GGGGUAAGGUCAUAGCUCAGGGGUAGAGCACAUGCUUAUUAUGCAUGAGGUCCUGGGUUCAAUCCCCAGUACUUCCA
rnacentral:tRNA from 1 species